AGUGAACGCUGGCGGUAGGCCUAACACAUGCAAGUCGAACGGCAGCACAGUAAGAGCUUGCUCUUACGGGUGGCGAGUGGCGGACGGGUGAGGAAUACAUCGGAAUCUACUUUUUCGUGGGGGAUAGCGUAGGGAAACUUACGCUAAUACCGCAUACGACCUACGGGUGAAAGCAGGGGAUCUUCGGACCUUGCGCGAUUGAAUGAGCCGAUGUCGGAUUAGCUAGUUGGCGGGGUAAAGGCCCACCAAGGCGACGAUCCGUAGCUGGUCUGAGAGGAUGAUCAGCCACACUGGAACUGAGACACGGUCCAGACUCCUACGGGAGGCAGCAGUGGGGAAUAUUGGACAAUGGGCGCAAGCCUGAUCCAGCCAUACCGCGUGGGUGAAGAAGGCCUUCGGGUUGUAAAGCCCUUUUGUUGGGAAAGAAAAGCAGCAGGUUAAUAACCCGCUGUUCUGACGGUACCCAAAGAAUAAGCACCGGCUAACUUCGUG
rnacentral:rRNA from 1 species